UCACURGAAAAGCACAGGAGGUAGCACUGGGCCUCUAGAGCAGAAGCGUCUGCCUGGUAGCACUGCCAAAACUCUUUCACGGUGUGCAGGUCUCCAGMUGAAGACAUGUCCUGCUUUUACUCCUAACCUCUCCCUUACAAUUGGGUGCGAUACAGGGAAGAUAGUUCUUCAUCAUGACGCCUUUCCAGAGUUGAAUUGACCACAGAAUUCUGCAUGUGCCUCCAAAAUCUUCAUAAGGAGAAGGCUGURGACACUAGAACAUUACAGGCUCAAGGUAAAAGUGCCUUAAAUCAUCCAGUUGUAGAAACAGCAGAUGAAUCUACACGUGCUCGGGACAAUUCUGCUGUUACGGCCCUGACUCUGCAAGAGGCUCCACUCUGGGAAGCGCCUGCAAAUGCAGAGCCAUUUUGCACAAUUGCUGUUUAAAAUACAUGGAUAUCCUAUUGAAGUUCAGAAGAGUUU